rnacentral:rRNA from 1 species
GACGAACGCUGGCGGCGUGCCUAAUACAUGCAAGUCGAACGAGAGCGCCCGGUGCUUGCCCUGGUCAAUCUAGUGGCGCACGGGUGAGUAACACGUGGGUAACCUGCUCAUCAGAGGGGGAUAACAUCCGGAAACGGAUGCUAAAACCGCAUAGGUCUUCGAGCCGCAUGGCUUGAAGAGGAAAAGAGGCGCAAGCUUCUGCUGAUGGAUGGACCCGCGGUGCAUUAGCUAGUUGGUGAGGUAACGGCUCACCAAGGCCGUGAUGCAUAGCCGACCUGAGAGGGUGAUCGGCCACAUUGGGACUGAGACACGGCCCAAACUCCUACGGGAGGCAGCAGUAGGGAAUCUUCCGCAAUGGACGCAAGUCUGACGGAGCAACGCCGCGUGAGUGAAGAAGGUUUUCGGAUCGUAAACUCUGUUGUUAGAGAAGAACAAGUGCUAGAGUAACUGUUAGCGCCUUGACGGUAUCUAACCAGAAAGCCACGGCUAACUACGUG